rnacentral:misc_RNA from 1 species
CCGAAGGCGAGGAAACUGUGGGGAUUGGUUGUUUGCCAUCAUACAAGCCCGAGGUUCGUCCCAUACCCGCUACGAUAUGCUUGUGAAUUUUUACUACAAGUUUUCGGGAUACAAAUCAACAAAGAGGUGGAGCUAGCAGCUCAAGCCAAGGAGAAACACAUCUUCCGGAUACAAACUGUUCUCUGUGAUAUGCUUCUUCGUGACGCCCCUGUCGGUAUCUUUAAGAAAUCACCUAAUGUUAUGG